AGCUUUGUGCAGUCGUAAUAUUGUAGUCAAUGAGGUUUAUUGAGGUGCAAUUGUUGCUAAUUGAAAACAUCUCCUAAUACUCACUGUGAAGAUUUGCAAUAUAAUUAGUAUUAACAAUCUUUGACAUUUUCUAUAGAGA